UGUUCUCCUAACCUCUUUCUUCAAUAGUUGUUUUCCUGAACAAUAUAUUUGAAGAAUUAAACUUUUUUAUGGUUUUCCAUUUAGUUUUGAUGGCAAAAUAUCUCUUGCAGAAUUUCUAUAUUGUCAAUACUUUUCUAUUGUCACUAGAUCCCACCAGUUCUCAUUUCAUAUCAAUGAGUUAGUGCACCAUAGAAUGAAAUAUUCUAAGAUUUCGUUUAUCUGUAUUGAAAGCGGUAAGAUACACUUGUAAGCUUCGAUUUAUUUCAAAAAAAGUAUCUACUCUACUCUACUCUUUCGAUAUUCUUUUCCAAAGUCUAAUUACAUAUCUGAAAUAUCAUUUUCCCAAAAAUUAUUUCGAACAUUAUGUAGAGUAAUAUUAUUCGAUGUUUAUUCAGAGCAGUUACAAAUAUCAAAAACCAUAAACUCGCCAACACACUAUUUGGGCUGUCCGGAAUGUAUCUUGGAAAUGAGGCUGAUUUCGAAAAAUAAUUGAACUACUACUAAUUUUCAUACAAGAAUCAAAUCAUGGAGUCGUUUUCUUUCCUUACAUAUAUCACCUGCAUAUAAUGCAGAUAGAUUAAAUAUAUGAUUUUCGAGCUGGUUACAGAAAAUUAGAAAUGAGCAUUUCUCAUGACGGCGGCCGUUUUUACCGGGCUUGUAAAAGUAGCCAGGUGUUAGUUUUAGGUUUAUAUACAGAUAAGAUAAAAUAUCUAAUAUUGAAAUCGUUGCCCUUCAUCUGCGGUCAACCACAUUGAGGGAAUGGAGACGUUGAUUGACCAUAACAAUUAUAUACAGAGUGGAGCGUUCUCGCAUUUCGGGUCCGAUCUUGUUUAUUCGAUAUACAAAAGAGCUCGAAGUUUUCGUUUUAUUGUGGUAUCGUUUAAUUGGUAUGAGUUGUGUUAAGAAGUGAAGGAACUAUGUCCUAUGCAGCAACUGCUUAGUCAAAAUUGCCACAGGUAUCGACGUUGAAAGAGAGGUUCAUUUGAGUAAGCAAUGUGCACUGAUUAGGCAACAUUACAGAUAGGAAGAUAAUAUAAUGGCCAUGAAAAGCUCAGAAAGUUUCAAGAAUAUUGUUAUAUUUGAUACUUAUAUUUCAAGGCUGUUCAACUGACGUGGUCACUCAAAGAAGUAAAACGCCAUAUAUGGUCAGGAGAGGAGAAGCAGUUAGUACUAAUACUCUUCAAGAAUCAUGUAAGGAAUAAGAAUCCUCCCAGAAAAUAUGAAUGUAUGGAAUUAAUUUCCAAGCAUUCAUCAAGUUUCCAGAAUGAUGACCGAGUUUGAAUAAAAAUCCUGGUAUAUAAAGGAUACCAGCAAAAAUAGAGUGUAAUUGAAAAUAUUUGAUUGAGACUGAAAAGUAUUCAUUCAAUUUUUGUUUUGUUAUUUUUAAACCUCAUUUGCAGACUU